CUCUUUCCAAGCUUCCACCAACUCAAGACUAUGGUGUGUAACAGACUUGGCUGAACGAUCCUAACAACAUCAAAUGCUUCUAGCCCAACAGAGCCAACACCUAAAACUGCUGCUGGCCCUGCUACAUUCCUGCAUUGGCCUUAGCUGAUCACCACUUUCUUCGAGGUCUGCACCUUGGCCGAGAGAGGAGCAGCGAAUUCCCUGUCCUCCCUCACCCUGCGUCCUGAGCCAUCUCCCAACUCCUCAAAGCCCCUGGAGACCAUGCUUCAACCAGACGCAGGCCAUUCUCCCCCAUUUCCAUUCUGAAACCACUCACUCCAGGCCUUUCUUCACCUUGGAGUCUUGGCCCAAUAAAA
rnacentral:lncRNA from 10 species